AACGAACGCUGGCGGCAUGCCUAACACAUGCAAGUCGAACGAGACCUUCGGGUCUAGUGGCGCACGGGUGCGUAACGCGUGGGAACCUGCCUUUAGGUUCGGAAUAACUCAGAGAAAUUUGAGCUAAUACCGGAUGAUGUCUUCGGACCAAAGAUUUAUCGCCUUUAGAUGGGCCCGCGUUGGAUUAGCUAGUUGGUGGGGUAAAGGCCUACCAAGGCGGCGAUCCAUAGCUGGUCUGAGAGGAUGAUCAGCCACACUGGGACUGAGACACGGCCCAGACUCCUACGGGAAGCAGCAGUGGGGAAUAUUGGACAAUGGGCGAAAGCCUGAUCCAGCAAUGCCGCGUGAGUGAUGAAGGCCUUAGGGUUGUAAAGCUCUUUUACCCGAGAUGAUAAUGACAGUAUCGGGAGAAUAAGCUCCGGCUAACUCCGUG
rnacentral:rRNA from 1 species